rnacentral:rRNA from 1 species
CAUAACCAUAACGCGCCUGAUCUCGUCUGAUCUCGGAAGCUAAGCAGGGUCGGGCCUGGUUAGUACUUGGAUGGGAGAAAAGCAUAACCUUGAGAUGU